rnacentral:lncRNA from 1 species
UCCUAGUUUACAUUUUGUAGCACAAUUCCCAUUUUCUUAUUUAACCUUUUUUUAAAAAAAUCUCAGUAGCGUGGCAUUUUCUGAAUAAAAGAAAAAUGUAUAUUAAUUACCCAAAGUUAUAAUUUGGAUUCAUCAUGGUAGAGGUGAUUUUGGCAAGAUGUAUAUCAUCUUAAUUACAAGUAAUAGAGUUGUUUUGUACUAUCUUGUGGGGAAGUAUCCAAACUGCCUAUAGAGUGGGAGUGGAGUAACAAUUCUGAAUAAUGAAUAGAGAUGAUAAUAUAGCAAAAAUAAAUAAAUAAAUAAAUAAGAUAGCCUAGAAAGUACUUUGAUUUAAUCACUUAAUAUGCAGUUAAAAAAUUAUAUGAUGAAAAUGAUCAGUUAUGGUAAGAUAGUGAAAUGCACCACCUAAAUUAUCUUUAUUUUUACUCCUCAAGUCCAACACUUAAACUAUAGAUAAGGUUUUUUAAAAAUUUUUUUAUUUUAAUGUUUUUGGUCAGAGGUUAUCAAUAGAUUUUGUUGUCUGCAAUGAAUUCCGAGAAGAGUUUAAAGUAUUGUAUAUGAGAACUUACAUAGUUUACAGGAACCUGAUUUUUACAUUUUUAGUAUUAGAAUGAAAGCUUUUUAUAGAUUCUGGAUUCCUUAAGAAGUAGAAUAUUUUAUCAAAAAUAAUCAGGAGAUAGUUGAUAAAGU